UACGUAGGGGGCUAGCGUUGUCCGGAAUCAUUGGGCGUAAAGGGCGCGUAGGUGGCCCGGUCAGUCCGUAGUGAAAGCGCGGGGCUCAACCCCGCGUCGGCCAUGGAUACUGCUGGGCUGGAGCACUGUAGAGGCAGGCGGAAUUCCGGGUGUAGCGGUGGAAUGCGCAGAUAUCAGGAGGAACACCAGCGGCGAAGGCGGCGCUCUGGGCUGGAACUGACGCUGAGGAGCGAAAGCGUGGGGAGCGAACAGG
rnacentral:rRNA from 1 species